AAAUGGGGGGCGGCUUACACAUGCAGUCGAGCGGGGAAGGGUAGCUUGCUACUUUACCUAGCGGCGGACGGGUGAGUAAUGCUUAGGAAUCUGCCUAUUAGUGGGGGACAACAUUUCGAAAGGAAUGCUAAUACCGCAUACGUCCUACGGGAGAAAGCAGGGGACCUUCGGGCCUUGCGCGAUUAGAUGAGCCUAAGUCGGAUUAGCUAGUUGGUGGGGUAAAGGCCUACCAAGGCGACGAUCUGUAGCGGGUCUGAGAGGAUGAUCCGCCACACUGGGACUGAGACACGGCCCAGACUCCUACGGGAGGCAGCAGUGGGGAAUAUUGGACAAUGGGGGGAACCCUGAUGCAGCCAUGCCGCGUGUGUGAAGAAGGCCUUCGGGUUGUAAAGCACUUUCAGCGAGGAGGAGGCUACCAAGCUUAAUACUUGUGAACUGUGGACGUUACUCGCAGAAUGAAGCACCGGCUAACUCUGUGCCAGCAGCCGCGGUAAUACGGAGGGUGCGAGCGUUAAUCGGGAAUUACUGGGCGUAAAGCGCACGCAGGCGGUUGGUUAAGUUAGAUGUGAAAGCCCCGGGCUCAACCUGGGAAUUGCAUUUAAAACUGUCCAGCUAGAGUCUGGUAGAGGGGGGUAGAAUUUCCAGGUGUAGCGGUGAAAUGCGUAGAGAUCUGGAGGAAUACCGGUGGCGAAGGCAGCCACCUGGCCAAAUACUGACGCUCAGGUGCGAAAGCAUGGUGGAGCAAACAGGAUUAGAUACCCUGGUAGUCCACGCCGUAAACGAUGUCUAUUAGGAGGCUGUGUCCUUGAGACGUGGCUUCCGGAGCUAACGCGUUAAAUCGACCGCCUGGGGAGUACGGCCGCAAGGUUAAAACUCAAAUGAAUUGACGGGGGCCCGCACAAGCGGUGGAGCAUGUGGUUUAAUUCGAUGCAACGCGAAGAACCUUACCUGGCCUUGACAUGUCUGGAAUCCUGUAGAGAUACGGGAGUGCCUUCGGGAAUCAGAACACAGGUGCUGCAUGGCUGUCGUCAGCUCGUGUCGUGAGAUGUUGUUGAAUUAAGUCCCGCAACGAGCGCAACCCCUGUCCUUUGUUGCCAGCACGUAAUGGUGGGAACUCAAGGGAGACUGCCGGUGAUAAACCGGAGGAAGGGGGGGGGAUGACGUCAAGUCAUCAUGGCCCUUACGGCCAGGGCUACACACGUGCUACAAUGGCGCGUACAGAGGGCUGCAAGCUAGCGAUAGUGAGCGAAUCCCAAAAAGCGCGUCGUAGUCCGGAUCGGAGUCUGCAACUCGACUCCGUGAAGUCGGAAUCGCUAGUAAUCGCAAAUCAGAAUGUUGCGGUGAAUACGUUCCCGGGCCUUGUACACACCGCCCGUCACACCAUGGGAGUGGGUUGCACCAGAAGUAGAUAGCUUAAGCUUA
rnacentral:rRNA from 1 species